rnacentral:tRNA from 1 species
GGGGCUAUAGCUCAGUUGGCAGAGCGCCUGGAUCGCACCCAGGAGGUCGGCGGUUCGAAUCCGCCUAGCUCCA